AGGUGCUCUGUGAAAGAGAGGGAUUCGAGGUAAACACGUCCCGCUCUGCCCUGCCCACCCCCCACCCCCAGCGGCCUCUCCCUGCCCCUCGCCCUCCCUUCAGCCCCUGGCCGCUUCUGCCCCUCGUGUGAGGCCUCAGCUCUAGAACAGCGCCAGCCCUCGGAAGCAGGACGCGCUCACCGAGCCGGGCCUACCGAGAAGACACGGACGAGGCUAUGGGGGCAGCCGGGCCCCACCUGACCGUGGCCAAGUCACCCUACUUGCCGGACCUGUUACCUCAUCUGAAGGAGAGGGGAGUCCGCGCACUCUUCACCAGCACCCUUCCAGCGGGGAUGGGGUUCUCGCCUCUGUCUUCCGCCAUCCUCGGGGCCAUCCUAUCGACCCUUCGCCCCUCCAAAGCUCCACAAACAUCCCCUCGACACAUAAACCAAAAUGAAAAGCUACAAAGGACGCUGCUUAUAACAAGGUUUUAAUAAAAUAAAAAGUUCAAGUGC